rnacentral:rRNA from 1 species
UAGGGAAUAUUGCGCAAUGGAGGAAACUCUGACGCAGCGACGCCGCGUGGGUGACGAAGGUCUUCGGAUCGUAAAGCCCUGUCGGAUGGGAAGAAAAACGGUAUGGCUAACAUCCAUACCGCUUGACGGUACCAUAAGAGGAAGCCCCGGCUAACUUCGUGCCAGCAGCCGCGGUAAUACGAAGGGGGCAAGCGUUGUUCGGAAUCAUUGGGCGUAAAGCGCGUGUAGGAUGUCUAUUAAGUCGGGUGUGAAAUCCCUGGGCUCAACCGAGGAAGUGCAUUCGAAACUGAUAGACUAGAAGGUGGUAGAGGAAGGUGGAAUUCCAAGUGUAGAGGUGAAAUUCGUAGAUAUUUGGAGGAAUACCGGUGGCGAAGGCGGCCUUCUGGGCCACCCUUGACUCUGAGACGCGAAAGCGUGGGUAGCAAACAGGAUUAGAUACCCCGGUAGUCC